rnacentral:rRNA from 1 species
CCUACGGGAGGCAGCAGUGAGGAAUAUUGGUCAAUGGACGAGAGUCUGAACCAGCCAAGUAGCGUGAAGGAUGACUGCCCUAUGGGUUGUAAACUUCUUUUAUAUGGGAAUAAAAUGUUCCACGUGUGGGAUUUUGUAUGUACCAUUUGAAUAAGGAUCGGCUAACUCCGUGCCAGCAGCCGCGGUUAUACGGAGGAUCCGAGCGUUAUCCGGAUUUAUUGGGGUUAAAGGGCGCGUAGGUGGAUUGUUAAGUCAGUUGUGAAAGUUUGCGGCUCAACCGUAAAAUUGCAGUUGAAACUGGCAGUCUUGAGUACAGUAGAGGUGGGCGGAAUUCGUGGUGUAGCGGUGAAAUGCUUAGAUAUCACGAAGAACUCCGAUUGCGAAGGCAGUUCACUGGACUGCAACUGACACUGAGGCUCGAAAGUGUGGGUAUCAAACAGGAUUAGAUACCCUUGUAGUC